rnacentral:rRNA from 1 species
UACGUAGGGUGCAAGCGUUAAUCGGAAUUACUGGGCGUAAAGCGUGCGCAGGCGGUUUUGUAAGUCUGACGUGAAAUCCCCGGGCUCAACCCGGGAAUUGCGUUGGAGACUGCAAGGCUAGAAUCUGGCAGAGGGGGGUAGAAUUCCACGUGUAGCAGUGAAAUGCGUAGAGAUGUGGAGGAACACCGAUGGCGAAGGCAGCCCCCUGGGUCAAGAUUGACGCUCAUGCACGAAAGCGUGGGGAGCAAACAGG